UACGUAGGGGGCAAGCGUUGUCCGGAUUUAUUGGGCGUAAAGAGCGUGUAGGCGGCUAGAUAGGUCCGUUGUGAAAACUCGAGGCUCAACCUCGAGAUGUCGGCGGAAACCAUCUGGCUAGAGUCCGGAAGAGGAGAGUGGAAUUCCUGGUGUAGCGGUGAAAUGCGCAGAUAUCAGGAAGAACACCCGUGGCGAAGGCGGCUCUCUGGGACGGUACUGACGCUGAGACGCGAAAGCGUGGGGAGCAAACAGG
rnacentral:rRNA from 1 species